rnacentral:rRNA from 1 species
AUUCGUCGACAACAGAGUUUGAUCCUGGCUCAGAUUGAACGCUGGCGGCAGGCCUAACACAUGCAAGUCGAGCGGAUGAUGGGAGCUUGCUCCCGGAUUCAGCGGCGGACGGGUGAGUAAUGCCUAGGAAUCUGCCUGGUAGUGGGGGACAACGUUUCGAAAGGAACGCUAAUACCGCAUACGUCCUACGGGAGAAAGCAGGGGACCUUCGGGCCUUGCGCUAUCAGAUGAGCCUAGGUCGGAUUAGCUAGUUGGUGGGGUAAAGGCCUACCAAGGCGACGAUCCGUAACUGGUCUGAGAGGAUGAUCAGUCACACUGGAACUGAGACACGGUCCAUACUCCUACGGGAGGCAGCAGUGGGGAAUAUUGGACAAUGGGCGAAAGCCUGAUCCAGCCAUGCCGCGUGUGUGAAGAAGGUCUUCGGAUUGUAAAGCACUUUAAGUUGGGAGGAAGGGCAGUAAGUUAAUACCUUGCUGUUUUGACGUUACCAACAGAAUAAGCACCGGCUAACUUCGUGCCAGCAGCCGCGGUAAUACGAAGGGGGC